UUAAAUGUUUUCUAGGGUUCCGCAGCAAUUUUGUUGGUCUGGACCGAGAGAAGACACACAGUUAUCGCUGUGCCACGGAAGGAUAAAAGCCUGGGAGAU
rnacentral:sRNA from 2 species